rnacentral:rRNA from 1 species
UGACGUUAGCGGCGGACGGGUGAGUAACACGUGGGUAACCUACCUAUAAGACUGGGACAACUUCGGGAAACCGGAGCUAAUACCGGAUAAUAUGUUGAACCGCAUGGUUCAAUAGUGAAAGAUGGUUUUGCUAUCACUUAUAGAUGGACCCGCGCCGUAUUAGCUAGUUGGUGAGGUAACGGCUCACCAAGGCAACGAUACGCAGCCGACCUGAGAGGGUGAUCGGCCACACUGGAACUGAGACACGGUCCAGACUCCUACGGGAGGCAGCAGUAGGGAAUCUUCCGCAAUGGGCGAAAGCCUGACGGAGCAACGCCGCGUGAGUGAUGAAGGUCUUAGGAUCGUAAAACUCUGUUAUUAGGGAAGAACAAACGUGUAAGUAACUGUGCACGUCUUGACGGUACCUAAUCAGAAAGCCACGGCUAACUACGUGCCAGCAGCCGCGGUAAUACGUAGGUGGCAAGCGUUAUCCGGAAUUAUUGGGCGUAAAGCGCGCGUAGGCGGUUUUUUAAGUCUGAUGUGAAAGCCCACGGCUCAACCGUGGAGGGUCAUUGGAAACUGGAAAACUUGAGUGCAGAAGAGGAAAGUGGAAUUCCAUGUGUAGCGGUGAAAUGCGCAGAGAUAUGGAGGAACACCAGUGGCGAAGGCGACUUUCUGGUCUGUAACUGACGCUGAUGUGCGAAAGCGUGGGGAUCAAACAGGAUUAGAUACCCUGGUAGUCCACGCCGUAAACGAUGACGUGCUAAGUGUUAGGGGGUUUCCGCCCCUUAGUGCUGCAGCUAACGCAUUAAGCACUCCGCCUGGGGAGUACGA